GCGGUCGUGGUGGAAUCGGCAGACACGUACGUUUGAGGGGCGUAUGCGAGAGCAUAUGGGUUCAAGUCCCAUCGACCGCACCA
rnacentral:tRNA from 1 species